AGAGAGAGAGAGAGAGAGAGAGAGAGAGAGAGAGAGAGAGAGAGAGAGAGAGAGAGCGUGUGUGUGUGUGUGUGUGUGUGUGUGUGUGUGGUGUAUGUACGCGUUUUCUCACGGUGGGAUGUUUAUUUCGGUGAACGCCAGGAAAGUGCAGUGUUAGAGAUCUGUCUGUGCUAGCUAGCUCGGGAGCAAACACGCCGCAAGCAACUGUAAUCAAUAUGUAACUUUCUUCAUCCUCAGAGAAAUCCCCGCUGUCCCCAGGCACCCAUGCAAGGAAAGUCACUUGAUUAUGAAAGUGUUUCAGAAGAAAAGCAGACGCCGGUGGAGAGAGAGGCAGUGUCUCGAAGGAGGGAACAAGCCUCUCUUAAGACAUGUUUUGCAGCUCCAUGAAACUGAAAUCUGGUUGAACAGUGUUUAGACUUCUACCUUUUAACCAUCUCCUAUCACAGCCCACAUUCAAGCUUUAGAAUCUCAAAGCUUGCUUUUGUCUGAACUGCUUUCACAAACAUCCACAAGUUACGAUCAGUUUUGGUUCUGAUCUAGCAGUUCUGGAGCAGAGUUAAGAGGGACAAAGGAAAACAAUCCGUUGAAAUAGAGAAGUGUGGAAAUAUAUGGCCCUUGUUGGAACUCCAUAUAUAGACCAGAUUGCUCUUGAACACAGAAAUAUCUGCCUGAUUUUUAUUCCUGAAAGCUGAGAUUAAAGUGACAGGCAGUGAAAGAUACUUCUUAGAAAAUGUUGACUCCUCUGGAAUAAAGCACUGCUAUGAGAAUUUUCCAGGUGGAUUGUUCCAAGGUUUCUUUCUCCCUUCACAAUGGCUAGUUGUUAUCUGUACUACUUCCUAUCUACGAAAGGAGGAAGCUUUUCUGGUGAUUGUUGAGAGAGAUACCGACCUAUGGAUAUAACAGAAUGUCCUUUAGGAGUCUCUUUAUUGCUAAGUUUCUUCAGCUUGGGCUCUUGGCUGUCUGAGCUCUGCCAAGGAUGGGUUUCAUUUGAGUAGAUAUGAAACUCAAUCAGAUUUGGUUGGUUAACCCACAAGCUUUGUGCUGCUAUUGAGUAAGCUCAUCUUGCAGAGAGAUCGCAUUGUAGGUACAAGAGUUUGCAGAAGGGUGGUUGUUUGUCUUUCUCUUUUUGUAAGUGCAGAGGAAUUGCCAGGACCAUGAACAGGUGAAAUAAUAGGUGAUGUA
rnacentral:lncRNA from 1 species